UAUUUGACUCUCUUGAUUACAUUGGCAACAAGACCAUGUUUAUAUUGCAGUUACCUUUUUCAAACUGAGCCUAUACUCUGGCAGGUUUUGGUUCAAGUAUACACUCUUGUUAUUGCAGCUCUUCAGACUCUGAGCCAUUUGAAAAAGAUCUUUAGAUUUGUGAUUCCCCAAAAGGCAGAAAAGAUACUGGUUGUUGAUAAUAAUUUGGAAACUGUGAUUAAGAACUUGUUUGAGGAAUUGAUCAAGGAAAAAGGGCUAGAACAGGUUAAGGAAAAGAACAAUGGACAGGCAGAUAGUGUACCUAAAGAUAAGGAAAGAAAGGCAAAGAAAGCUAAAGUCAGUGAUAAGGAAAAUGAAGGUGACAAGGACACCAAGUCUGACAGUGAACCAGAAAAGAUUUGUCCACUAAAGGAGGUCACCAAGCUAUCCAGGACAACUGGUGUGCUACAACCUAAAGUUCACAGGCAAUUUACAUCACAGGAACUUGAAUCCCUAAAAAGAUGUUUCCCAAAUUUCCUAGAACAACCUUUCAAAACACAAAAGGAACUGAAAUGUGCUUUUAGGAUCUUUGACCCUGAUUUUGAAGAUGUAGAGUUUUUCCUCUCUGAACUGUUUAGCCCUCAUCAGCAAAGUCAAUUCCUUGAAAAGACCAGGACUGAUAGUAACCUGACUAGUUGGCCCACUGAGGAGCAAAGGGAAGAUCUGAAUUUUGCAAACCCCACUAGCAUGUCCUACCUAAGGAAAUGCAGGGAAGAUUUGCUCCAAGCAAUUACACAGUGCUGCUCAAAGCCAAAUGCAUGGGCUAGGUUUGAUAAGCUCUUGCAGAACAAAGGGGAACAUCCAGCCACAUAUAUUGAUCUUCUAUCAGAAAUGGCAGAAUCAAUAUUGGGUCUAGAGGCAAAUAGUGAAGAGUCUUCAAGUAGUGUCUGUAGACAGUUUUUGAGAGGCUGCACACCUCAUUUAAAGAACUUCUUUAAACACUAUUUCCCCAAGAAUGACCUGGUCAGUCAUAGAACUAUGUGA
rnacentral:lncRNA from 1 species